AGUCAAGUUUGAGUCUGAGAGAAGCUGUAUACAUAUUUUAGGAAUAGCAAGACAUCAGAUCUUGAUGCCCACCAUUUGGGAAUGAACUUCCACUUGGCUAAUAUCAGCUAUGGUCUGUUGGGUGUCAAGUUGGAAAAGCACUGCACAGACUGAGCCUGAUCUCUUUGAUACAGGCAUUUGUAGUGGGUUGGAUGGAGGAUCCCAGGAGAUUUGCCUGUGUCCUAAUCCCUGGAACCUGCUAAUGUCACCUAAAGUGUGAAAAGGGCCUUUGCAGAUGUAAUUAAAUUAAAGAUGAGGCAGAUUACCUGCAUGGAUCCUAAUCUAAUGCAGAUAUCUUUAUAAGAGACAGACUGGAAAACACAGUAAGGAGGAGGCACAAGAUCACAGACCCAGAGAGUAGAAUUAUGCAGCCCAAGUCAAGGAACACUGACAGCUACCAGAAGCUGGAAGAAUCAUCUGGAAGAGUCACAGGAGGGUCCUUCUUUGGAUCCUCUGAAGGGAGAGAGACCCUGCUGACAGCUUGCAUUCAGACUUUUGGGCUCCAGAACCCAACGCAAGAUUCCCAUGUUUGAUGGAAACACAAAGGAGGCAAGACUUUUGAUACUCAGCCCUCAUGGAUUUGCUCUUUAAAGCCUUAACCUAGGAGCGUUCCUACUGAAGUGACUGCAAGACCAAAGACACAGAUAGAGAAAUUGAGUCAGUGAAUCUGAAGGGUUGCCUGGCUUUGCUGAAAGAGAAGGUUGACACAGGACAAGGGGACGGACACUAAGAAGGGGAUGUAUUGUCUGCGUGUGUUGCCUUCACACCUUUGAAUUCUAAAGGGAUGGCAGGGGCAGCUAACAGAGAGCAGAGAGGAGGCAUCCGGAAUCCCAUGUGGCACAUUUAUGUCAACUGCAUGUCAAUCAGAUGCAAGUGAAGACUAAGCAGUUCCAGCACGGGAACCUCUGAAAAUCAAGACCACAUCAUCCUGAUGUUUUGGCAUUUUGCCCAUUGCCUCAGCAUGUGCUUUUAAAGAGAGCUCUCUAUUGCCGUCUCAUGGUGAAUGAGUGAAUGGCUGGGAUUAGGAGACAAAACUGGCUACCACCACUAAGCAGUGGAGAGUUCUGUGGCCUCCCGAGUAAAAGCUAGCUACCGCUUUUCCUCUCACAAAGCAAGCAAGGAUGUAGUCAAGAAAACAAGGGCACUGCAGUUGUCCUGAAAAUAGGAGCCUGAGAUGCCUAGAGCAGGAGGAGAUGCUUGGGCAAUGUCUGAUCCUCUGCAGACUUCAGCCUUAUGGGGACUGGAAGAGAUGUGGGGAAGCCCCUCCCAAGAAUUUUCAAGGGACACACAGGGCCUGGACAAGCCUCACUUUACAACUUAAUCAACCAAAGCGAUAUGAACAACAAUGCUUUGCCUGGUAGUUAUGUAAGAUGAAAGGAGUCUCAAAGUCGAAUGAAACUGUAUUAUUCAGAUGCUUUCAUUUACUCUAAAGACAUCCUACUAUAUAGGUUAUGCAUGAAUUUCUUCGAUUUUCAGGAGUAAGGCACAGUAACCAAAAGUCAUCAAUGUUUUAUAAACUGUGACUAAUCUCUAUGUAUAGUCUCAUAGUCUCUCUCUCUCUUUUCCUAACUGUUCAGAAUUUUUUGUAUUGGCUGAUAUUUGGCUGCUGCUCUUCAGUACUAUCAUUAUUAUUUUUAAGAUCACUUGAGACCCUGGCACGCCGUGGGGUUUAGGAUUGAUAGGGUUAUUAGGGAAGCCUGCUCUCCCAAACUUUUAGAUUGCUUUGAAAUAUUUUGCUGGAAAAUGGCAACAAAUAAAUCUGAAGCAAGCUCUGCCUUCCAGAAGCAGCAGCAUGGUGUGUUUCCAGGGUCCUGUUGGCUUUUACUGAGCUGCUGCCACCCAAAAAUAGUGGUGGGCUCAUAAAUGUUUAGCAAAUCAUGAUAAUGAACAUGGCCAGGACAAACAUAGCCAGUGUGUGUUUUUUUAAUCAUGCCUCAUUUAGUACAAAGAUGACUCUUGGAUGUUUUGGCAAAUUAAUUUGUAUUGCACUUCAGAGAAGGGAGAAAGCAGCUGGGCUCUAGCCCGCAGAGCUGCACUGGCUGUAUCUGCUAAUAAAGUUGCUGUUGCCACCGCCUCCUGUGGAAGCACAAAUGGAACGUAAGGCACAGGGAAUUCUCUGCCGCUUCCCUCCAGGGUUUUAGUUGAAUCCAUGUCAGUCCUUCUCUAGUGGUUCCAAGAAUUCCCACUGUGCUUCGUCAGCAACUCUAAUGCAGCAACCGAGCAACCAUUUCCAAAUGAAUCAUCCUCUACCAUUUAUGAAUCAGUCACAAUGCCACCUUCUUUGAAAUCUGAUUAAGUACUGCCGGAUAUUUGUACAAUUCAAAUGUGAGUCCUCCCUCCUCACUGAUGGAUAUUUUGUGUAAUCUGUCAUGAAAAGUCUUACGUGGCCUAGGUCUUUGCUAGGUACUGAUAUAAAGACAGUGGUCUGAGAGAAAUCCACAUAGGAAAACAUUUCCAAGUUUAGUUUCUUGUCGAGGAAAACAUCAGAUGGCAAGUGGAAGGGGGAGAGGUAUUAGGGACAUAAACACAUUGGAAAUCUUCCCCAAAGUUUGUCAUUCUCUGCAGGAGUGGCUGCUCUUACCCCAAGCCUCUUCAUCACUGAAUCAUACCCCAACAGCUAGCACACAUGAGCCACCAGGUUUUCCUUUCUUUCUCUAAACUGCUUCCCCCUACCCCUUUUUUUUCCAUUGCCCUUCAGUCUUUUGAAAAAAAUAAAAAUAUGUAUAUUUAAAA
ensembl:lncRNA